UGGGUUAGUGGCGGACGGGUGAGUAACGCGUGGAUAACCUGCCGUAUACAGGGGGGUAACACUUAGAAAUAGGUGCUAAUACCGCGUAAGCGCACGGUUCCGCAUGGAACAGUGUGAAAAACUCCGGUGGUAUACGAUGGAUCCGCGUCUGAUUAGCCAGUUGGCGGGGUAACGGCCCACCAAAGCGACGAUCAGUAGCCGGCCUGAGAGGGUGAACGGCCACAUUGGGACUGAGACACGGCCCAAACUCCUACGGAAGGCAGCAG
rnacentral:rRNA from 1 species